GAAACCAACAGGGAUUCCCCUAGUAACGGCGAGUGAAGCGGCAACAGCUCAAAUUUGAAAUCUGGCCCUUUCGGGUCCGAGUUGUAAUUUGUAGAGGGUGCUUUGGCAUUGGCUGUGGUCUAAGUUCCUUGGAACAGGACGUCGCAGAGGGUGAGAAUCCCGUACGUCGCUGCCAGCCCUUGCCGUGUAAAGCCCUUCGACGAGUCGAGUUGUUUGGGAAUGCAGCUCUAAUUGGGAGGUAAAUUUCUUCUAAAGCUAAAUAUCUGCCAGAGACCGAUAGCGCACAAGUAGAGUGAUCGAAAGAUGAAAAGCACUUUGGAAAGAGAGUCAAAAAGCACGUGAAAUUGUUGAAAGGGAAGCGCUUGCAGUUAGACGUGCCUGUAGAUGCUCAGCCGGGCUUUGGCCCGGUGCACUCUUCUAUUGGCAGGCCAGCAUCAGUUUGGGCGGUCGGAUAAAGGCCUAUUAAACGUGACUUCCUUCGGGGAGAGCUUAUAGGGUAGGCGUAAUGCGAUCAGCCUGGACUGAGGUCCGCGCAUCUGCUAGGAUGCUGGCGUAAUAGUUGUAAGCGGCCCGUCUUGAAACACGGACCCAAGGAGUCUAACAUCUAUGCGAGUGUUUGGGUGUCAAGCCCGGAUGCGUAAUGAAAGUGAAUGGAGGUGGGAUCCUUCGGGGUGCACCAUCGACCGAUCCUGAUGUUUUCGGAUGGAUUUGAGUAAGAGCAUAGCUGUUGGGACCCGAAAGAUGGUGAACUAUGCCUGAAUAGGGUGAAGCCAGAGGAAACUCUGGUGGAGGCUCGCAGCGGUUCUGACGUGCAAAUCGAUCGUCAAAUUUGGGCAUAGGGGCGAAAGACUAAUCGAACUAUCUAGUAGCU
rnacentral:rRNA from 1 species